UACAGAGGGUGCGAGCGUUAAUCGGAAUUACUGGGCGUAAAGCGUGCGUAGACGGUUAUGUAAGUCGGAUGUGAAAGCCCCGGGCUUAACCUGGGAAUUGCAUUCGAGACUGCAUAGCUAGGAUGCGGAAGAGGGAAGUGGAAUUUCCGGUGUAGCGGUGAAAUGCGUAGAUAUCGGAAGGAACAUCAGUGGCGAAAGCGACUUCCUGGUCCAGCAUCGACGUUCAGGCACGAAAAGCGUGGGGAGCAAACAGG
rnacentral:rRNA from 1 species